rnacentral:rRNA from 1 species
CCUACGGGGAGCAGCAGUGGGGCAUAUUGGGCAAUGGGCGCAAGCCUGACCCAGCAACGCCGCGUGAAGGAAGAAGGCUUUCGGGUUGUAAACUUCUUUUGUCAGGGAAGAGUAGAAGACGGUACCUGACGAAUAAGCCACGGCUAACUACGUGCCAGCAGCCGCGGUAAUACGUAGGUGGCAAGCGUUGUCCGGAUUUACUGGGUGUAAAGGGCGUGUAGCCGGGUUGACAAGUCAGAUGUGAAAUCCUGCGGCUUAACCGCAGAACUGCAUUUGAAACUGUUGAUCUUGAGUACUGGAGAGGCAGAUGGAAUUCCUAGUGUAGCGGUGAAAUGCGUAGAUAGUAGGAGGAACACCAGUGGCGAAGGCGGUCUGCUGGACAGCAACUGACGGUGAGGCGCGAAAGCGUGGGGAGCAAACAGGAUUAGAUACCCCAGUAGUC